GACGAACGCUGGCGGCGUGCUUAACACAUGCAAGUCGAGCGGAGCGGCGAACGGGUGAGUAACGCGUGAGUAACUGCCCCCCUCUCUGGGAUAACAGUUGGAAACGGCUGCUAAUACCGGAUAGUGGGGGAUGACUCGCGGCCUAUCAGCUUGUUGGUGGGGUAGUGGCCUACCAAGGCGACGACGGGUAGCCGGCCUGGGGGGGCGACCGGCCACAAGAGGCUGAGGGACGGACCAGACUCCAACGGGAGGCAGCGGUGGGGAAUAUGGCACAAUGGGGGAAAGUCUGAUGCAGCAACGCCGGGUGCGGGAUGACGGCCUUCGGGUUGUAAACCGGUUGCAGCCAUGACGCGGUAGUUGCAGAAGAAGCACCGGCUAACUACGUGCCAGCAGCCGCGGUAAUAC
rnacentral:rRNA from 1 species